UGCGGAGGGAUCAUUACACAAAUAUGAAGGCGGGCUGGAACCUCUCGGGGGUUACAGCCUUGCUGAAUUAUUCACCCUUGUCUUUUGCGUACUUCUUGUUUCCUUGGUGGGUUCGCCCACCACUAGGACAAACAUAAACCUUUUGUAAUUGCAAUCAGCGUCAGUAACAAAUUAAUAAUUACAACUUUCAACAACGGAUCUCUUGGUUCUGGCAUCGAUGAAGAACGCAGCGAAAUGCGAUAAGUAGUGUGAAUUGCAGAAUUCAGUGAAUCAUCGAAUCUUUGAACGCACAUUGCGCCCUUUGGUAUUCCAAAGGGCAUGCCUGUUCGAGCGUCAUUUGUACCCUCAAGCUUUGCUUGGUGUUGGGCGUCUUGUCUCUAGCUUUGCUGGAGACUCGCCUUAAAGUAAUUGGCAGCCGGCCUACUGGUUUCGGAGCGCAGCACAAGUCGCACUCUCUAUCAGCAAAGGUCUAGCAUCCAUUAAGCCUUUUUUCAACUUUGAC
rnacentral:rRNA from 1 species